rnacentral:rRNA from 1 species
UACGGAGGGUGCGAGCGUUGUCCGGAAUCACUGGGCGUAAAGGGCGCGUAGGCGGCUCAUGAAGGCUGUGGUGAAAGUCCGGGGCUCAACCUCGGAUCGGCCGUGGCGACUCGUGGGCUGGAGCACUGUAGAGGCGGGUGGAAUUCCACGUGUAGCAGUGAAAUGCGUAGAGAUGUGGAGGAACACCGAUGGCGAAGGCAGCCUCCUGGGCCAGCACUGACGCUCAUGCACGAAAGCGUGGGGAGCAAACAGG